CUUCUAGGUGAGAAGCAGACAGGUUUUUUUACAAGGGUGCAAUGGAGAGAGGUCAGGUUGGGACGUGUCUUCUUGGUUGCUGAGGUGUAAGGCAGAGGGCAAGUGGGCUGUAGGGCCUACUACCCAGAACACGGAGGUCUUGGCCAGCAACCAAAAAGAAGGCCUCCGCAAUUUAGAGGAGAAACUCAAGCUUCCUUAGUGGAAGGCACCCCCUGCAACAAGAGCCCUCUGCCAAUGCUGUAGUCAUAGCGCCUGAGAACAGCUUGCUUUGUGGCCAGCAAUGAUAGCAAAGUUACAAGGGAAGAAAUCCUCCACAAUUCAAGUACUACACAAAGGGGAAGCCUCAACAGUACUUGUGGCCAGCAACCAGGAG